CUUCAGUGAUGAUACGAUGACGAGUCGGAUCGAGGCCCGUCUCUGAGGAUUCUGGCUCAGGCUCACGUUCUGUGCGUCAAGACUUCAGUUCCUCAGAGAUCACGUGUCCUCUUAGAUUGAAGAUGUAGAGGCAUUUGUCUGAGAAGG
rnacentral:snoRNA from 1 species